UCCUAGGGGUGUCCCAUAUAUGGGGCUGAGAUUGUGCUGUUAUGCACGGGACCCUUCGAACCUGAUCCGGGUCAUGCCGGCGAAGGGAUUG
rnacentral:ncRNA from 1 species